rnacentral:rRNA from 1 species
AAGGUAGCAUAAUCAUUAGUUUYUUAAUUGGAAGCUGGAAUGAAAGGUUGGAUGAGAAAAUAACUGUCUCUAUUUAAAUUUAUUAGAAUUUUAUUUUUAAGUAAAAAAGCUUAAAUAAUAAUUGAAGACGAGAAGACCCUAUAGAGUUUUAUAAAUAUGGUUAUAUAAAGUUUUAGUAUUAUAAAAGUUAAUAGCUUAUUUUAUUUGAUUGGGGUGAUUAAAAAAUUUAAUAAACUUUUUUUUUAUAAAAACAUUAAUUUAUGAUUAAUUGAUCCUUUUUUAAAGAUUAAAAGAUAAAAUUAC